AUGGCUGAGACUCUAGCAUUAAAUUUUUAAUUUAAUUACGACCUAUAGGUCUUUGCGUU
rnacentral:tRNA from 1 species